CAACUACUCCCUCUGUUCGGAAUUAUUUGUCUCGAAAAUGGAUGUAUCUAGAACUAAAAUACAUCUAGAUACAUCCAUUUCUGCGACAAGUAAUUCCGAACGGAGGGAGUAAUAU
rnacentral:pre_miRNA from 1 species